ACAGCAAUGCUGAUGUAAACACGUCGCUUCUACGUCCUGUAAACACAGUUCCCUCCUUCGCUGUUGAAAUGAUUCACAAAUAUCCUUAAAGAAAGAUUUAUAAUAUGUUUUUUCGCCAAUGUAAGAUGUCCUCAUAUGUCUUUAAGGUCAUACGCAUGCGUAUAGAAAGCACUGUGCGCCGUUGUGAGACCACUUUGCAUUGCCUCAAGCCCCGUAAGACUUGAGUCAGUGUAUUGGUAUGCUCGCACUGUGAUCGGAGGAUGUUACCUUGGUUCUGAUGACCUCCAGAGAGGAAGGAAGGGGAAAGGAGGAGGCGGGCUGUAUACGCUGCGGGGACGGUGCUGGAGCCACCUAGGAGAUCCCUUUAGUUACUAUCUGAACCGGCGUCCAUAUCUUCAAGGAAAUGGCGUCAGAGGAUUUCCGGAUGUCAUGUAAUUUUCGUGAAUACCUCGCACAGCUGGAAUAACUGUAGCGAGAUGAUGGUGCAGUGACGUCUUGUUUGAAAAUGAACUGUCUCUCCACAUCCAUGUGAUUGGUGGUCAUCUGUGUUCAUUGGACAUGUGCACAGCAAGAUCUUGCAGAGCUAAUAGAAACUUGAGGGGGAAGAUGACUGUUUUUCAGCAGGCUUAUAAAGAGAUGAUCCAAGACCUGAAAGGGAACUGAAAUACAGUGAAACCCCCUCAGUGCUCUUUGAUGCGAAAUUAAUCUCAGGUAACAUUCAGUUUUGGCGACGUUGUGUCAGUAACCUCAUUGUUAAAUUACAUGCACGCAAGAAUCCACUUCUUGGCAAUGAGACCUUAAAUAGGAGAUUCACUGUGUGCAGACUGCAUCUGUAUGCCAUUGGAACCAUCACCAAUCACAGAAACAUGCCUCCCUGUUGACAGUCAUGUGUCACGGGAAGUCUGGAUGAGGAUUUCCAGCACUGGAAGAAGUGCAGCAGUUGUGUAAGAGGUUCAUCUGCCAGCGCUACAGAUGAUGCGAUGGGUAAACUACCGCAUCAUUCUCCGCCACAAGAUACUAGUCUUGCAACUAGCUUUACAAAUGUAUGUUAUCAUUAUUAUGAUGCUUAAAGUGUGUGUUGGUCAAAACGAAUGACCUGUGUUUGAAUUAUAUGUAAGAAAUUUAGAUUUAUUUACAGGAGGGGGGGGGGNGUAUUCAUUCAGAUGGCAAAGGUAGAAAAUGAUUCCAGCCUAGUGCAGUAUAUCAGUAUUCAUGGCAGAAGUAUAUGCCAUUAACCCUGUGUGGGCCAAGUUUUUGGACAGCUUGAGACAAAAUACGAAUUAAAGGACGUAUAUGACACCUGUAACCUAACCUAGCUAACUUAUAACAGAAUGUACUCUUAUUUAAUGUAACCUGUCCUAAAGUAACUUUAACCAAAGCUAAUAAAAUUAACCUGAGCUAACAUGUCGAGGAAAGUACAGAAAGGGUCAAGGUGUGUAUACUUACUGCCAUAAGCUUCAUGAAUUUAGCCUAUUGGUUUGUAUGAAGUUCACUCUGCACUGUACCUCACCAUCCAUAGGAAUACACAAACACAGAAUAGUCCCAUUUUAGGAGAACACACAAUGAAAAAGAUGUCUUUGCAUCAGUUAUGUUGAUACUGAUAAAGA